UACGUCCGUCUGCCCUUUCUGUCACUUUAAGCGUUAUGUAUCCAAUUAGCUAAGAGCAGUUAAUUUGAGGACAUGUGUGGAAGAGCGGCGAGUUUAGCCGUAACCUACAUGGACAUUUACCAACCUGACACUUCAUUACAGGCGUAAACGGGUGUCAUCCAGACUUUGGAUGGAGUGCACAUCAGUGCAAGAAACAUGGCCAAGUAUUACUGUAGUAGCACAGACAUCAAGAGUACAUGGGACCACGUUGUCUCGGCUUUCUGGCAGAGGUACCCUAACCCAUUCAGCACCCAUGUUCUCACAGAGGACGUUGUGUACCGUGAGGUGACUGCAGACCACCGGCUGCUCUCCAGACGCCUCCUGAUGAAGACCAAUCGGUUGCCUCACUGGGCGGAGCAGUUCUUUCCAGGCGGCAUUUCUCGCUCCGUUUACAUCGUCGAAGAUUCGAUCGUGGACCCCGUCAGCAGGAGCUUGACCACAUACACCUGGAACCUCAAUCACGCCACUCUCAUGUCUGUGGAAGAACGUUGUGUUUUCCAAGAGUCAGCGGAGCAGCCAGCGACCACGCAGUUGAAACGGGAGGCAUGGAUAUCCUCGAGCAUUUAUGGCUUCUCCAAACCCAUUCAGGAGUUUGGAUUGGCCCGCUUCAAGAGCAACCAGGUGAAGGCCACGAAGGGACUGGAGUACGCACUGUCCAACCUGCAGGGAGAGGCGCCCCAGCGGCUGCUCAGGGACACAGUGAAGGAUGCAUCCCAGAAAGCCAAAGAGGCAGCCAAGACCCUGGCCUCCGCCGCCGCCGGCCCGCAGAAGCCCCGGCAGUACGUUUGGCAGUGAGGCGCAUCAAGCGCCGCACAGUACCUUGAUGUGCAUCCUGGCCCUUUUCAGCAAGCUCAGAGUGGUGUGUCGUGUGCUGUCUGGACCCAAAGGCACCAGCUUCUUCAGCUGCUCCAAGUAGAGUCGUAGUUUGGCACGUCUGCAAAUCACACAAGAACGAAAAACAUGGUGUCAUAAUUAUGACAGGGGAAGUGAGUAAACUGAUUUUGGAAGGCUUUACCAGCACUUGCAUUUGUCAGUUUGGACGUCACUUCGUUGGUAACCAACCACACCCGUCGCUGGAUGUGAGCGGGAGGAGGCGCCGGACGGCAAAAAAUGGCUCGGAGAAAGAGCGGCAUGUGCAGCACUGCUGGACGACCCCCUUCAUGUCUGCAACCAUGCAAACAGCAUGCACCCACUGCUGUUGUUGUUGCACGCUGACUUGAGCAGCAGCGUGGACAUGGAAUAAAAACACACUCAGACGUCUGGAGGCCUAGACGCUCCAGAAUUCCUCAGCAUGUGGGCUAUUCCGAGGAGAGCCCCUAUUAUGACACGCAGCCGGGAGGGCACUGCAGUCCAUCUGAAACAGGCUCUCUGUUCAUUACACCGUCAUGGAUACCACAGCAAUAAAAACAAAAACAGCAACAACAAAGGGCCAGACUGACAACAAGCCUUUUCAGACUUUCCAGCGUUUGAGAGCCCUUGUGCUUGCGAGGCAGUGGUUCCCACAGCUGUGAUGGGGAAGGCCCUAGGCAUCCGCGCUACAACGCUGUUUUUGCGGCACCGGAAAAGGGUUACAGUUGACCCUAUGAUAAUGUGGCAUCUGCACAAAAUCAUCUCCCAAGGAUGUCGCAGCACCGCCGAUCUCAAAGGCAAACAAAGAGCUUUACUCCACCGUGGAGGAAGUGUUGCUAUUCAAACAUGUGGGGAAACGUCCCAGUCAAAGCACACGGCAUGACCAGGAAACCAUUGAGAGGGAGGGGGCGCAGCAGAUCAACGCACACCUUUACAUGUUGUGUAAAAGCAUUGUGUGUGACAUGCAAAACUGUCUAAUGAUUACAAGCCUGUAAAGUAGCUUUCCAUCAGCUUUUAUAUAGGAUAGAAAACUCCCCCUCACAACAUUUCCCACUCCCAGGAGGGAAAUCGAGGCUACAAAAAAGACGGAGCAGGGUUUUUCUUGUCCUUUGCGUUAUUUAUAUUCACAUAUAUCUUCUGUGACAGAAGCAAAGCAACAAAACUCUUGCCAAUAAAA